GAUAGCGGCAAUAGCAUGUUGAAUGAUCCAGAUCCUAAGGGAUCACUGAAGUAAGACACAGUUGUGCGUGGUUGAUAUCCGGAUGGGUGACUAUCUGGACAAUCGCGUACUGCUGGCU
rnacentral:rRNA from 1 species